AACACAAAACUCGAACCGGUUGAUAGUUCAGGAAAUAUUUGGCUUUAUAGCAAAAACAGUGUCAAAUGACUGAAGAGCCAAACUGUAGUAUAAUGGGAAAUCAGAGCGAGAGGAUAAGAAAAAGCCAUAAAGUGAAAACCAAAAAAUCCAAUUGAAUAGGAGAUGAAUCGCUUGUGAAGCGAACAACUGAAAGGAGUAACAUAACUAUGAAAAAGAUACAAAGCGUAGGCAGACAAGUUCUGGACAAAGACCAGAAGUUUAAGGUGAAAAGGGUGAAUGCAAAAAGCAGAGCAUUACAUUAAUCAAGAUGAGACACGAUUAAACACUGAGCAAGCAUUUUUGUAGUAGAAGCAGAUGGAAAAUGAUUAAUUUUAGCAACAUGGAAAAGGGGGGGAAUGGCAAGAUCUGGCAACAAAAUCCAUCUGGUGGGAAAUAAGUAGGAAUGGAAGACGACACUGAGACUGUGACAGGAUCAGAGCAGUGCAACACGAAACCUCAUCAGAAGCAGUAAAAAAAGCUGAGAUGGAUGAUUUAGAAGCUAAGGCCAGGGGUUGGGCCAAUUCCACCACAGACCUUAGAAGAAGGAGAAGGACUUCGAGGACUUCACAACUUCAAAGGCUGCAUCUGAUCAAGUAUGGAUGCUUGACCCACCUUCACCCUUCUCUUCAGCAGAGCCUUGCUCUCCAGGUUUAAGGUUGAGGCCUUACAACACAGCACUGCAGUUUGAGGGUCAUCUAUGAACACCCUGGACCUCUGCUCUCAGGGCCCCAAAUGGCUGCUAUAAACUCCUUGUUU